UGUGCAACAUCUGCACAAAUUUGACUGCGCAGCGGAACUUAACAUACGCUAAGAAUCGGAUUCUCAAGUCUCAACUCAGAGCUCACCAAGCGAGAAUCCAAAUUCCCCAGGGAAAAAAAAGGAAGAAAAAGAAUCCCCAUUUUUUUUUCAUUUUAUCUACAUCUUAUAUUAUAAAUUAUUCAGAGAAAAUAUCACAAGGAAAAAUAAAGAUACCAUCCUUUUUUCUUUAAACUCUGUUGACUCGUUUAGAAAACUUUUUCCCUGCCACCCAAACCCAAAACCCUAAUCUCAUUCUUCUCUAUGGAUCCCUCUCGCCGAGCACCGCGCUCAGCGAUCGACCCCGUCCCCAAGUUCCGCCAAGUCGGGUUCUUCACUCCUGGAGCCCCGCCCGAACGCUCUCAAUCGGGUCCACCCGACCCGACACACUCUACUCCCGUUUCCGACGUCUCACAAUCCGCCAACUCGCUCUCUCCGGUCAUGAUCCCUCCGCCGCGCCACCUCUCCGACAAUCUCGUCAUCAACGCCCGCCCCACGCUUGCGUCCCCUCUCCGCGCAGAUUCCCUCGCCGGUGGCGGAGUUAGUAGCUUCGGCGAUUUCUUCCCCGCACCGAUGUCGCCGGCGACUCCAGCUUCUUCUUCGUACUCCAGCAGGAUGGCCGCCGGCGAAGGGAGCUUCUUUGAGCGCCAUGGUGGCGGAGGCGAUAAGGGGAACAAUGCCGGCAAAGUGGCGUCGUCAUUUCCCCGCGGAGGAUUCGACCUGACGGCGAUGAAGAAGGUUAGUGGCAUUGGCGGUGGCGGUGGCGGUGGUAGUGGCGUUGGUGUUCCGGCAAGUGAGCUGACCACCGUGUCCGUGGUGAAUGAUUCGCUAGCGGUUCAUGAAAAAGAGAAAGCAAACAGAGGAGGAGGGUCAGCUGUGGAAGCAAAAGACCAAUCUACUGGUUCAAAACAACAAAAACCAAAGACCACAAAAGCUGAAAGGCGAGCUCUUCAAGAAUCUCAACGUGCCGCAAAGGCUGCUGCAAAAGCUGAAGGCAACAAGGCAUCUGGAGCUGCAACUUCAGUGAAUGCAAAACCAGCUAAAGCUGCCAAGCCCACACCAAAAGUUGAUAAUGCUGCAGUUGCAGCAUCUGAGAAGAAGGGUGGUGAUUGUCCUCCAGAAAAGGAUAGAAAGAAGGAUGUUCCUCAACCACGAAUGCAAUAUGAUGACAAGAGUCGAGUGGAGAAAGCUAAGCGACGAGCUGUGGUGAAACAAACUGAAGCUAGGAACAGAGUUGAGUUGUUCAGGCAUUUACCACAAUAUGAACACGGAAGUCAGCUUCCAGAUCUAGAGUCAAAGUUUUUUCAUCUGGAUCCUGUACAUCCAGCUGUUUAUAAGGUGGGUUUGCAGUAUCUGUCUGGCGAUAUAUGUGGUGCUAAUGCUCGUUGUAUUGCAAUGUUUCAAGCAUUUCAAGAAGCCAUAAAAGACUAUAGAGUUCCACCUGAGAAGACUCUUGUGAGAGACUUAACAGCAAAAAUAGGUAGUUAUGUUUCAUUUCUAAAUGAGUGUAGGCCUAUUUCAAUCAGCAUGGGAAAUGCAAUUAGAUUUCUCAAAAGUCGGAUAGCCAAGCUACCUUUGACCCUGUCCGAGUCAGAAGCCAAAGUUUCUCUCCAGUCAGAUAUUGAGCGUUUUAUAAGUGAGAAGAUUGUACUUGCCAACAAGGUGAUAGUCAAGCAUGCUGUCACCAAAAUAAGAGAUGGUGAUGUUCUUCUAACUUAUGGAUCAUCAUCGGCAGUUGAAAUGAUACUGUUACAUGCACAUGAAUUGGGAAAACAGUUUCGUGUUGUUGUAGUUGAUUCUCGUCCAAAGCUUAGAGGACAGCUUUUACUUCGGAGGCUUCUGGAGAAGGGUCUUAGCUGUGAAUACACUCAUAUAAAUGCUGUUUCAUACAUAAUGCAUGAAGUUACCCGAGUUUUUCUGGGUGCUUCGUCAGUGUUGUCUAAUGGAACCGUAUAUUCAAGGGUUGGGACUGCAUGUGUUGCAAUGGUUGCUCAUGCGUUCCGUGUACCUGUCAUAGUAUGUUGUGAGGCCUAUAAAUUUCAUGACAGGGUACAGCUGGAUUCGAUAUGCUCAAAUGAACUUGGUGAUCCAGAUAUAAUUUCAAAUGUUCGGGGUAGAGAGGAUGUCAACUACUUGGAUGGUUGGGCCAAUGUUGAAAAUCUACAACUUUUAAAUCUGAUUUAUGAUGCAACACCUUCAGAUUAUGUUUCAAUGAUAGUCACAGAUUAUGGCAUGGUGCCCCCCACAAGUGUUCCUGUAAUUGUAAGAGAAUAUGGGAGAGAGCAGGUCUGGAUUUAAAUUAUGCAAUUGUGGAUCGGCUCAAUUUGGUUGGCUUCCAAAAUCUAUUUGAAAUCAUGAGUGCUUACAUUUUAUCUUAUACAGGGUGAGGAGUCCAGAAGGCCAAAAUAGAAAAAAGAGUACGGGGGGCAAUGAUUGUUUCAAACCAUUCAAAAAUAUUCUUGUUCCUUUCAUGUUUCAACUUUUAUUUUCAAACAAUAACUAUUUAAAAAAGAGGUGUUUGACGUAAGAAAACAAUUAUAUAACAAAGGUUUUUUUAUAUGUAACGAUCACAACCACAAAUUUUAUUCCAUUAGUUU